UAGCCGUAAACGAUACUCGCUAGGUGUCGGCCACGGUGCGACCGUUGUCGGUGCCGUAGGGAAGCCGUGAAGCGAGCCACCUGGGAAGUACGGCCGCAAGGCUGAAACUUAAAGGAAUUGGCGGGGGAGCACCACAACGGGUGGAGCUUGCGGUUUAAUUGGAUUCAACGCCGGAAAUCUUACCGGGACCGACAGCAACAUGAAGGCCAGGCUGAAGAUUUUGCCGGAUUAGCUGAGAGGUGGUGCAUGGCGUAGACGUCU
rnacentral:rRNA from 1 species